AUGGCCAUCGCCGAGACGGCAGCGGUGGUGGCGACGACGACGUCGGAGACGGCGCCCAUGUCCCCGGCCUCGGCGAAGGCCGGGGCGGCGGCGAUCGCUCCGGCCACGCGGCGCGGGUGGCUGCGCCGGCUCGUGCCGAGGGAGUACCUGCCCCGGAGCCGCCGGUGGAAGACUCGCGGCGCCAGUCCCGGUGGUGCUGCGGAGGCCGCGAAUGGGGGCGGGGCAGCGGGGCCGUCGUCGUACCGGAGGCUGGCGUCGUCGCUGUCGCGGUCGUUCCGGUGGAAGCGCAUGCCGGCGCUCCCGUCCCUCAGCCUGCGCGCCGGCUCGGCGUCGGCGGCGCUGGACGAGGUGGCCUUCCGCGUCAUGUACGUCGUGGAGGCCGUCGUGCUCGGCCUCGCGCUCUCCUGCUUCUUCCUCUGCUGCGGCUGCCACAUCUAG
rnacentral:rRNA from 1 species